rnacentral:rRNA from 1 species
CAGUCGCCACGGUAACACCAGCAGCCAAGUGGUGGUCGCGAUUAUUGGGCCUAAAGCGCUCGUAGCCGGGCCGGUAAGUCCCUUGUGAAAUCGGACGGCCUAACCGUUCGGCGUGCAAGGGAUACUGUCGGUCUUGAGGCCGGGAGACGUCCGAGGUACUCCGGGGGUAGCGGUGAAAUGUUCUGAUCCUCGGGGGACCACCGGUGGCGAAGGCGUUCGACGAGAACGGGCCUGACGGUGAGGGGCGAAGGCUAGGGGAGCAAACGGGAUUAGAUACCCCCGUAGUCCCUGUCUCUUAUAC